UACGUAGGGGUCGAGCGUUGUCCGGAGUUACUGGGCGUAAAGCGUGCGCAGGCGGCUCAUUACGCCCGGCGUGAAAGCCCCCGGCUCAACCGGGGAGGGUCGUCGGGGACGGGUGAGCUUGAGGGUAUCAGGGGUCGGUGGAAUUCCCGGUGUAGUGGUGAAAUGCGUAGAGAUCGGGAGGAACACCCGUGGCGAAGGCGGCCUUCUGGACAGUGACUGACGCUGAGACGCGAAAGCGUGGGGAGCAAACAGG
rnacentral:rRNA from 1 species